rnacentral:ncRNA from 1 species
UGAAUCACACUUCAAGGGCGCUGCUGCUCUCUCGAGUGUGAUUCACGGCCGCACUUACCGGCGCCGCGGCUAUACGGUGAGCACACCGCCCGCCGCCUCUCGUCCGUUCUGGCCAUCCUCUCCUGAUGUUGCUGGUGCGCGAUGGACUUGUUACUUAAUUGAACGUGGGCAUUCGAAUGUAUCAACACUAGUGGGCCAUUUUUGGUAAGCAGAACUGGCGAUGCGGGAUGAACCGAACGCGAGGUUAAGGUGCCGGAGUGGACGCUCAUCAGACACCACAAAAGGCGUUAGUACAUCUUGACAGCAGGACGGUGGCCAUGGAAGUCGGAAUCCGCUAAGCAUGGUUGCAACGGGUAACGGAGGGUUAGGGCU